rnacentral:rRNA from 1 species
GACGAACGCUGGCGGCGUGUUUAACACAUGCAAGUCGAACGGAAAGGCCCUGCUUGCAGGGUACUCGAGUGGCGAACGGGUGAGUAACACGUGGGUGAUCUGCCCUGCACUUCGGGAUAAGCCUGGGAAACUGGGUCUAAUACCGGAUAGGAGCCAUUUUUAGUGUGAUGGUUGGAAAGUUUUUUCGGUGUAGGAUGAGCUCGCGGCCUAUCAGCUUGUUGGUGGGGUAAUGGCCUACCAAGGCGGCGACGGGUAGCCGGCCUGAGAGGGUGGACGGCCACAUUGGGACUGAGAUACGGCCCAGACUCCUACGGGAGGCAGCAGUGGGGAAUAUUGCACAAUGGGCGCAAGCCUGAUGCAGCGACGCCGCGUGGGGGAUGACGGCCUUCGGGUUGUAAACUCCUUUCGCUAGGGACGAAGCUUUUUGUGACGGUACCUAGAUAAGAAGCACCGGCUAACUACGUG